CCUACGGGAGGCAGCAGUCGGGAAUUUUGCGCAAUGGACGAAAGUCUGACGCAGCAACGCCGCGUGAGGGAUGAAGGCCUUCGGGUUGUAAACCUCUUUUCUCAGGGACGAUAAUGACGGUACCUGAGGAAGAAGCCACGGCUAACUACGUGCCAGCAGCCGCGGUAAUA
rnacentral:rRNA from 1 species